GACAGAGGUGCCAAGCGUUAGGCGGAAUCACUGGGCUUAAAGCGUGUGUAGGCGGAAUUGUAAGUACCUUGUGAAAUCCCACGGCUCAACCGUGGAACUGCUUGGUAUACUGCUUUUCUUGAGCCACUUAGGGGCUACCGGAACAAAUGGUGGAGCGGUGAAAUGCGUAGAUAUCAUGUGGAACGCCAAUGGUGAAAACAGGUAGCUGGGAGUGUGCUGACGCUGAGACACGAAAGCCAGGGGAGCGAACGGG
rnacentral:rRNA from 1 species